GAUUAUAUAGUCUAAUGGUUAGGCGUAGGAUUGCAAAUCCUAAAUAUAGUGGUUCGAUUCCACUUAUAAUCU
rnacentral:tRNA from 1 species